rnacentral:rRNA from 1 species
CCUACGGGUGGCAGCAGUGGGGAAUAUUGCACAAUGGGGGAAACCCUGAUGCAGCAACGCCGCGUGAGUGAAGAAGUAUCUCGGUAUGUAAAGCUCUAUCAGCAGGGAAGAAAAUGACAGUACCUGACUAUGAAGCCCCGGCUAACUACGUGCCAGCAGCCGCGGUAAUACGUAGGGGGCAAGCGUUAUCCGGAUUUACUGGGUGUAAAGGGAGCGUAGGCGGCUGCGCAAGUCAGAAGUGAAAGCUCGGGGCUCAACCGCGGAACUGCUUUUGAAACUGUGUAGCUAGAGUGCAGGAGAGGUAGGUGGAAUGCGUAGUGUAGCGGUGAAAUGCGUAGAUAUUAGGAGGAACACCGGUGGCGAAGGCGGCUUACUGGACUGUAACUGACGUUGAGGCUCGAAAGCGUGGGGAGCAAACAGGAUUAGAUACCCCAGUAGUC